UCAAUUUGUCUUCAGUAACACCCAAAUUGAUGCCUUUCUGCGUGGAAUGAGGCGUAUUUAAGACAGUGUUAAAGAAAAAUGGACCACGAAUAUAAACAAGGAAUGUGCUUUUCUCUGAUUUAACCGGAAUGAUCGGUUUCCGACGAAUGGACGAACGUCACGUGCAACAUUUUCAAAUCGCCACAACUGCACAACAAGGAAAUGUGACGGCGUUAAGACACAGUACGUUAGCAGAGAACACCAUUACCCCACCGUACUCUUUUACCAUGUCCUGCACGGCGUGCGCAAAACCAACUUCAUUGAGGGAACAAUCCAUAUCAUUGGCAAUGGCGUAGAUGAUACCAAUUGAACCGCCAAACUCAGGACCAUUUGACUUA